ensembl:lncRNA
CAAGGCUUCGCCCCUAGAGCAGUGGGACUCUGGUAUGGACCGGUUUCCUGUGAGAUCUUGCUCCGUCUCACAAGAUCCUAUGCAGGCCUGUAUCUGGAACAGCUUGUCAUCGAUCUCGCCCUCUAUCGCUCAGCGACCUAGGAGGCCCCAGGACUGCAGUCUGCGGGUUAUCCCAUUUUACAGGUCGAGACUCAAGAUAUCAGUAAUUUGCUAAGACCAAACGUCAGUUACCUGUUUAAAAAAUUGAUUCUCACCCCUGACCACACCUCUGAGGAUUCGGACCUUCUGGAAGAUGAACAGUUCAUAUUUGACCAAGAUCACAUAAAUAGGAGUUGGGGGAUUGGAACCUACUAUGACCGACUUCAAAUUAAUGCAGUUUGUAGUCACUUAUAUAAUAAUGGUAAAGGCAUUUUUUGCUAUACAGAGUGGGUAAACUCACUGAGGGAAUAAAGCAACAUAUGACACACAUGAGGCAACAUGACAGGGAAGAUCAGCAGAGGAAACAAGUAGCAGAAAAGCAAGGAAAAUUACAUUUCCCAUUUCCAAAGUAAAUUUAAAAAGAAUGAAAAGUAGGGCCAGGGAUUUAGCUCAGUGGUGCCACCGCCUGCCUUGAAAGCCCAUGGUCUUGAGUUCGAUCCCCAGUACAAAAAAAAAUGAAAAAUAAAAGCAAAAAUUGCCUGGGAUUUAGCUCAGCGGUGCCACAUCUGCCUGGCAAGCACAAGGUCCUGAGUUCCAUUCCCAGUACCCCCCAAAAAGCAAAAAUUAAUGAAAUAGCCAAUAAAAUUGAUCAUAAUAAUAUCUGGUAUUUGAAAAGAACAAUAGACACUUUGCAAAUCCAAGGAAGUAGAGAAAAAAUAUUGGAAACAGCUGGGUGUAGUGGCCCACACCUGUAACCCCAGCACUUGUGAGGCUGAGGCAGGAGGAUCACUGUGAGUUCAAGCUCAGCUUGGGCUGGUGAGUUCAAGCCCAGACUGGACUACAUAGUGAGACCCUGUCUCAAACUCCUCCCCCACUUAGAAACAAAGGAAGCAUACUACAUAUGAGGAGACUUAGUAAAUCAAAAAUGAAUUAUGGGGCUGGGGAUUUAGCUCAGUGGUUCCACCGCCUCCUUUGCAAGACCAAGGUUCCGAGUUCAAUCCCUAGUCCAAAAAAAAAAAAAAAAUGAAUUAUGUAGCCUUUACUAAUAAUCUUGAAAAUUGACUUGAAAAAUUUCUAGAAAAAUAUAAAUUUCAAAACUUGGCUCAAGAGUUAGAAAAUCUUGAACUGAUAGACAUGAAAGCAUGUCCUAAAGUAGGGUAUCAUCAAAAGUCACCAGGAACAAAGCAUAAAGAAGGAUAGAGUGUUUCCUAACUCUACCUUUGUCAAAAUUUUAAAUAAACCUGUAAACCUGCAAGUGUCUGGUUGUAAAGGCUUCAAAAUAAUGUGCAAGGCCAGGGAUUUAGCUCAGUGGUUCCUCUGCCUGCCUUGCAAACGCAAGGACCCAAGUUCAAUCCCUGGUACCAACAAAAAGCAAAAUAAUGUGCAGAUAUAUGUAAUAUGAUAGUCAUGAUAACUUUGCAAUUUUUUAAAAUCUUGACUUCAUUAGUAAAAGGAUUGCUAAGUAAGAUUACAUUUACAAUACAAAAUAUUACAUACUGGUAGAAAUACAAUUCUGCAGGCAUUAAUAUGGAAAAAUUAAAAAAGAGUAUAGACAGUGAAAAUUAUACAAGAUACUACAUAUGUGACUUAAUUUUUAACAAUUAUCUUGUAAAAGAAUAAGUUUGGAGAGGAUCUAUACCAAAUUGUUAACUGUUGGUUAUAGAGCGAGAGGAUGUGAAAGAUGUUUUUUAUAUUUGUAUUGUUUAUUUUUUUAUUUUUCUUUAAUUUUUACUAAGUAAAAAUGUAGAAAGAAACAUGUACCAUCAUGCAAAAGAAAGUAUUUUCAAAGAAUAAGGGAUUAGGAAAGAUUAAAAGACUAAAACACAUUGAUUUGGGCAAAGGCAUUGAUGUACUCAGGAGAACAACUUUAAUAAAAUGGUCAAGAUGGAAAAAUCAGAUUGCACAGGAUUUCAAGGUAAGUGACUGACUGUAAAAGAAGGUUUUCAGUUGAGAGAAAGUGCAGAAUUCCAGAUAAUAGGAACCGUUUGUGAGUAGGAGAUGGUUUCAAUUAGUAAAAAUGGCUAGUCCUCCCCCCGCUUCAGUUUUUCAAAACUGAGGUGAUAAUUUUUUCCAACAGUCUCAUUGUUGCCAAGGCUGCCCUCAAACUGCCUCUCAAGUAGCUAAAACUGCAGGUGCACACCACCCCAUGUAUUUUCUCUUCCUUCCAAGGCAUUCUUGCUGUCUUCAGUGCCUACCUCCAAAUCCUGGGGCAGCACAUGGAUAGUUUUGUUUCAUAUUUAGCUCAUUCUUUUUCAGUUGCCCAACAA